rnacentral:rRNA from 1 species
UAAAUAGUCAGGCCGGCUUUUGCUGGUCGCCGGCUUCUUAGAGGGACUGUCAGCAUCUAGCUGACGGAAGUUUGAGGCAAUAACAGGUCUGUGAUGCCCUUAGAUGUUCUGGGCCGCACGCGCGCUACACUGACCAGGCCAGCGAGUUUUUUUCCUUCACCGGAAGGU